CUAUACAUGACUCUGCGCAUAUCAAUAAGCGGAGGAAAAGAAACUAACGAGGAUUCCCCUAGUAACGGCGAGUGAAGCGGGAAGAGCUCAAAUUUGAAAUCUUAAAGGGUUUCCCUUUACGAAUUGUAGUUUAAAGAAGUGUUUUCUGUUGAGGUUUUGGUAAAAGUUCUUUGGAAUAGGACAUCAUAGAGGGUGAGAAUCCCGUAUUUGACCUUUACUUUCAACUUUGUGAUACACUUUCAAAGAGUCGGAUUGUUUGGGAAUGCAGUCCAAAAUGGGUGGUAAAUUUCAUCUAAAGCUAAAUAUUGGCGAGAGACCGAUAGCGAACAAGUACCGUGAGGGAAAGAUGAAAAGAACUUUGAAAAGAGGGUUAAACAGUACGUGAAAUUGUCAAAAGGGAAGCGUUUGACACCAGUGUUGUUUUUCUGAAAAUCAAUUAAAGAACUGUUUAUGCUAAGUUGUUUAGACUUUAUCAGCUAUCUGUUUAGUUUUGAGCUUUUCUUUAAUGCACUUUUCAGUUAACAAGUCAACAUCAAUUUCUUUUGCUGUAAAAAAGCUUGAGGAAGGUGGCUUGAGAUUCGUCUUAAGUGUUUAUAGCCUCUUGCCUAUGCAGUCGGAGAGAUUGAGGUCUGCAGCGUAGAUCCUUCGGGGCUAAAUGCAUUUGUGCUAAGUUAUAGCAUUUUAUAGACAACUUGUUGACUAUGAUUUGUCUUGUAGCUUACUCGCUUAUGUUAUUUUACCUACGCUUAGGAUGUUGAUCUACAGAGCGAGAGU
rnacentral:rRNA from 1 species